GGGCCGGUGCGCCAUCCGUCCGCGUGCCCUCGGGUCAUCUCAGAGACUGAGGGAUGAUAGUGCGUUUGUGGGACCACAGUUCACCACGAUGGGCCUGCACCGGGUCGGAGGACCGCUCCGGGACAGGGGGAUGCACCAGGUCCAGAGAACGCAUGGGAUCACAGGGCUGCACCGGGUCAGGGGGCUGCACCGAGACCGGAGGAAGCAUCAGGUCAGGAGGAGGCCCUGGAGUGUGCAUCCCCGGGGGGCCACACUGGCACAAAUGACAGUAACCAUCACACACUGAUCUGCAGAUAAAGAGGGAAGCUAUUUUUUUUCUCACCGUUUCUGUCUGAUUUGGAAACCAAGCAGUGGCUGGUUAGUAAUAUCAUUUUGUUUCCAUUCCACUGUGUGUGACUGUCAUCCAAUACCUGUGUACUCUCAGCUUCCAUAAAUUCGGUAAAUUGUAUUGGAUUAAUAGCUGGAUGGAACACGGCCAGGAAACCAGUGUGUUAAAGGAGAAAAUGUUGGUUAUUCUAUUUAUAUUCAUUUUACCGUUGAGCCAGCCAAUGAAACUGAGUUAUGGAUGGAUGUCAGAGUACAAGGAACCAAUUUUCAGUUUGAACAAUUCCACUUUAUUUCUUCAGAAGUAGCACACAGGAGGAAGAACACAGUAACAACAAUUGGCUUUUCAACGCUGCGUGUUUGCACUAAGAUUUUAUCAUUGAGCAUUUUAAGAGAGGAUCAUGCUGAAAAUGAAAUCGUCUGAUACUUUGGGGGAUUCUGAGCUGAUGGAUGACGGUGUGGGCUGGGGGUCUCCUGCCUGGGUAAUGGGUGCUGCUGCACGCAGCCCCCAGCCCCACGCGUUUCCAUCAUCACCACUGCCUGCUCACAGCUCUCAGGAAGGAUUCCAGGCGCCUUUCAUCGUUCCUGUAGUGAACACACACCACUCAAAAUACCAGUAAUUAAAUCUCUCUCAGACGAAAUGCACAGGACUUGACGGCUUAAGCAUUUUACAUGGGGAGAGAAGAACAGACAUGGAAAGCAACCUGAGAAUGGCAGCUGUGUGAAGGAGCCGCCUUCGGAGGGCUGGUGCUGAGAGAAGCCGCCUUCGGAGGGCUGGUGCUGAGACAUCCUUUGGGUGGUUUUGUCGAGAUCGAGAGGAAUAAGGGACGUUUCUAUAAUGCCUGUUUGAUUCAGAGUGGACAAAGGGAGAAGCUCUGCGUGAAUGUGCCCUGCUCACUGAUUCGGAUUGGGCAGCACAGCUGGGAAGCCAGGCGGUGCCUGGGAAUGCUGCUGUCACCGUCACCGUGCUGGUGGACCCUCAUAGCCAAGGUGACUGGAAGGCUGGGCUCACUUUCAAAGAUCCUUACCUGUAAGCUUCCCCGUUAUAAUUGUUUGACAGGCAGCCUCCUUUCACUCAUUCAUUCAAGUCCAUUUAGUGCAGAUUGACACACGCCAGGUGCACUUCCUAGGGGCCGGACAUGAACACACAGUGUGACCAAAAUCACAAAAUCCCUGCACCCACGCGGCUCACCUUCCAGUGGGAGAGAGAGAGAAAAUAAAAACAUACACAAAAGCACAGUAUAUCGAUGUGACCACUAGUAUGGAGAAAUAAAGAAAGAAUGGGGUAUUGAGAAUCCUGGAGGAAGGGGUUCAGUGGUGAACAGCAUAGUAGGGAUGGCUCACAGAAAAAAGAAGACAGUUUGCAAAAGAGCUAAACAGCCAAUUGGAUGAGCCAUUGAGCUCUGUGGGUACCAGGCUGAAGGGUGAUUCAGGCAAAAGGAACAGGAGGUACAAACAUCCUGAGGUGGAAUAUGCCUGAUGUUGUUUGGGAAGAACCAAGAGGCCAGUGAAAUUGGAUUGGAGGUCUUCCUUUAAGAUUACAGCCGGUGGGGAGUGGGGUCGACUCUGAGUUUAGAUUAUACCCUGGGAUGCUAGGUCUCAAGACUACAGAUUGUAUUUUAAAAUAAUCUAAAUAAAAUCGCAAAUG
rnacentral:lncRNA from 1 species